UACGAAGGGGGCUAGCGUUGUUCGGAAUUACUGGGCGUAAAGGGCGCGUAGGCGGCCCGUCAAGUCCCGUGUGAAAGCCCCCGGCUCAACCGGGGAACUGCACGGGAAACUAGCAGGCUUGAGUUCGGGAGAGGGAAGCGGAAUUUCGGGUGUAGCGGUGAAAUGCGCAGAUAUCCGAAGGAACACCGGUGGCGAAGGCGGCUUCCUGGACCGACACUGACGCUGAGGCGCGAAAGCUAGGGGAGCAAACGGG
rnacentral:rRNA from 1 species